UGCGAGGUCUUAAACUCAGCCUAAUCUCUCAGAGAAUGGGAAAGAAGAGGGACUUCCUUUGGAUUAUUUUCCUAAGGAAUCACCAACCUGUUGUGAACUAUCAGUCCUUUUCCUCUAUGUUCCUUCUGUCUGAUCUAGGAAGGAAGAAGCUUGGAAGCCGGCCCAACAAAAUAAUUUUACUCAUUAAUUUACUCACGCUGUAUCUCUUUUCUUCUAUUCUUACACCUCGCCAUCCACUCAUUCAUCUGUGCAUCCAUUCAUCUGUCCAUCCAUACAGCCAUUUUCCCAUUCAUCCCUCUGCACUUCCUUUCUCCAUUCUUCUAUCUUUUCAUCCAUCUGUUUCUUUUAUUCAUUCACCUGUCCAUCCACCUGUUAACUCUCCAUCCAUCCUUCUUUCCAUUCAUCUCUCCCAUUCAUCCAUUUUUCUGCUUGUCUGUCUCUUCUUCCUUCUGUCCUUCCAUCUUCUCGUGUGUCUACCCAUCAUCCAUUCAUUCUUCUGUUCUUUCUUGCAUCAUUUCAGCCAACCAUCCUUCCAUUCAUUCAGUUAUUGGCUCUUUUAUCUACUCUUUCUUGAUCACUCACUUAUUCAUUCACCAAAUCAUUCAUUUAAAAAACUUUUUUGAGACCCACUAUGCACCAGACCCUGGAGUGUCAGAGAUAAAUAUGAUUCUGCUUCCAGACCUGUAUAAAGGGCCCUGGAGGGGAUCACCUAUCCAGUUCCAAGAUCCCACAGUCUCCUCAAGGCUGUCAUUCCCUGCUCUGAUAACCACAGGUAGCUAUGGAAAAGAGUGGAAAAAGUGAAGUGUUUCCAAGGAGCCGGAGACAGUAGGGAACCAGCUGUUGCUAUGGCAAGCAGCCAGCCACCCCCUGUGCUGAGGGACCUGGGAGAGACUCAGGCAGCUCCGGGACUGUUCCUGCCCUGAGGUCCACAGCUUCGUCUUCAUCUAGUGCCCGUGCUCCCUGACUGUACAGAACUCCUCUUUCCAGAGCCUCUGGGGAUGGCAGGGAAAUCCCACAGCUUGGGAUCCUGCAGAACAAACAAGUGGGGAGAAGUCUGCAGUUUUGAGAUGGAUGGAACAAGUCUCCUUGUUGUGCUGAGGCUGAAAAUAGCUUUAUAUUUCCACUCAGUGCCAGCUGGGAGUCAUGGCUCUUCUGACAUCUUCCUCCAACUCAGGGCUUUCCAGAUUUCAUCUCCUAAACGCACUCUUGUGGCCUUUGUCUUAUUCUCCUUACCGUACUCUUAUUUUUUAAAUUAACUUCCCACCUUCCCUUUUUUUUAGACUUAAAUAAAAUUAUUUGAAAAGGAAA